rnacentral:rRNA from 1 species
GACGAACGCUGGCGGCGUGCUUAACACAUGCCAGUCGAACGGAAAGGCCCUGCUUUUGUGGGGUGCUCGAUUGGCGAACGGGUGAGUAACACGUGAGUAACCUGCCCUUGACUUUGGGAUAACUUCAGGAAACUGGGGCUAAUACCGGAUAGGAGCUCCUGCUGCAUGGUGGGGGUUGGAAAGUUUCGGCGGUUGGGGAUGGACUCGCGGCUUAUCAGCUUGUUGGUGGGGUAGUGGCUUACCAAGGCUUUGACGGGUAGCCGGCCUGAGAGGGUGACCGGCCACAUUGGGCCUGCGAUACGGCCCAGACUCCUACGGGAGGCAGCAGUGGGGAAUAUUGCACAAUGGGCGGAAGCCUGAUGCAGCAACGCCGCGUGCGGGAUGACGGCCUUCGGGUUGUAAACCGCUUUCGCCUGUGACGAGGCGUGAGUGACGGUAAUGGGUAAAGAAGCACCGGCUAACUACGUG